GACGAACGCUGGCGGCGUGCCUAAUACAUGCAAGUAGAACGCAGUUGCGAACGGGUGAGUAACGCGUAGGUAACUGCCUGGUAGCGGGGGAUAACUAUUGGAAACGAUAGCUAAUACCGCAUACUACAAUAUGCACCUGCGUUGUAUUAGGUAGUGGGUGGGGUAACGGCUCACCAAGGCAACGAUACAUAGUCGACCUGAGAGGGUGAUGGGCAACACUGGGACUGAGGAACGGCCCAGGCUCCUACGGGAGGCAGCAGUAGGGAAUCUUCGGCAAUGGACGGAAGUCUGACCGAGCAUCGCCGCGUGAGUGAAGAAGGUUGUCGGAUCGGAAAGCUCUGUUGUAAGGGAAGCGGUACCUGACCAGAAAGGGACGGCUAACUACGUGCCAGCAGCCGCGGUAAUUC
rnacentral:rRNA from 1 species